rnacentral:lncRNA from 1 species
CCGACCCGCAGGACCCACCAGGCCUGACGCAGGGGGCCAGGGACGCCCACGCUGGUCCCGACUGUCUGAGGCGCCUGCCGAGUUUAUUCCCAAGUCCCCAUGGAGAGUCAGGGGCCGUCCUGAGCCAUCUUCUGAGGUCCCGGGAGGGGUGGGCUCGGGAGGGGUUCGCCCGAGGGCUUUCCGAGCGCCGAAAGGGACGGCGUGCUGCGUGGUGGGUGCCUUGGGUUGGGGGGCUCCCCUGCUUGGCCUCCCACCCCUCUGGUUCCUGGCUCCUCCCCUCAUUCCUGGGAGUGGGGGUGGUGGCAGCUCGAUCCACCGGCUGGGAUAGGGCUGGGGAAGCAUGGUAUGGAUGGUUCAGUUGCAGGUGUCCGGGGGUGUGGCCCGGCAGGCCCCAUCCCAGGUAUGGCUGUGAGGGCCCGGGGGUGGCAGUCUGGGUCCCUGCCCUCUCCCACCCCGCGGGUGGGAUGGUCACCGGGGGGGCAGUCCCUGCGCUUGAGCCCUUGCUCCUCUUUCCACCGCCCACAUCGAUCAGCAGAUGGGGGUUGGGGGCGCGGUGGGAAGGAAGGUUGGCGACUUAGAUGCCAGAAAAACAGCUUCAGGCCGCGAGCGCCACCCUUGGCCUGUAGGGUGGAUCCGCUGGGCCUCUACCUGCUGGCUUCUCAGUCCGGCCGCCGGGUCCACCAGAUGUCGGCCAAGAGUGUAGGACUUGGCCACCAGCUUGAAAUAUUUAAGACGGACCAGAUGGCUCUCCUCGGCUGCAGAACCGCUAAGAUCCAGUAGAGGAUGCAUAAUCUCACCGCUGAACAUUCCUGACAGUGUGAUUAUGACAUAUGACUUUACCCAGCACCAGAGUGAGUUGGUGCUCCAGCCCUGGCCCAGCCCACAGAAGAGAUUGUGACAUAUCACUGGACCCAACACUGAGAUGUUGCCCAAAAAGAGAUUGUGACAUAACUUUGGGCCCAGCACCGAGGUGAUGUCUCCCCUCUCCUGCCUGGGGCUUGCCCACCGAAGAGAGAGUGACUUAUUGAUGAGUUCAGCACACAGGGAUUGUGUCAUAUCACUCUGUCAAGAACCUAGAUGAGGUGACUCUCCUCUCCAGCCUGGGACCUACAUACGUUGUGUAUUGAGACAUGUCACUGGCUUCAACACCUGGAUAACACAACUCUCCUGCAUGGGCCCUGCCCAUAGAGAUGUGAUUGUGACAUACACCUCUGCCCAGCACCUGAGUGAUUUGACUCUUCUGCCUGGGCCCAGUGUACAGAUGGGAUUGUGCC